AGCAUUAACGAGACUGAGCUUGUGAAGGCUAUGGAGGAAAUGUUUGAUUGGGGCUGGCAAUGAAGAGUGAGGGAUUUUGAAAAGAAUGGAUACAUGAUGAGAUUUCUCAAUAAAGCAAAGUUGGUGGAGUUGGCCAAGUUUAAUGACUUCAAACUGCUGGGGACAGGGAUGGUGAUCAAGGUUCAACCAUGGUCCCUUGAUCAUCAAGUUGUUGGGAAGAUGCACACCAUUUGGGUCAGGCUGGCCAAGGUUCCAGAUUGUUUUAGGCAUUUUUUGGGUGUUUGUGAGGUGGCUAUUGCAGUUGGACCUGUCCUGGAAAUUGAUAUGGAUACUAUAAAUGAGGAGAAAAUUAGAGCAAAGUGUGGGAUCAGAGAUGUGGAGAAAAUACCAACUCAAGUGGAAAUCACUUCCCCUGAUCUUCUUAUGUUUAGAAUUGGGAUGGAAACUGAGAAGGUGGUGGGGAUUGGCUGGUAUAAGGAAGAAAAGAGGAAAAAUGAUAGCAGCAAUUUCUCAGAAGGGGGAGAGGAUGAGAUUGACAAUAGGAAGAGGACUAGAAUGGAGGAGAAUGAACAUAGAGGGGUUUCUCUGGGAUGCUUAUCCCUGAAACAAAGUGAGGAGGUGGAUAAAAGAAUUGAAGGAAUGAAAACUCAAAUGGAUGUGACCAUGUUGCAGUGGCAAAAGGAGAUGGCUUUGGAGAGAGGAAAAUGGCAAAAAGAAAGUGAAAUCAUGUUCAGCAAGAUCAAAACCUUGGAGGAAGACAAGAUUAGAAACAAUGCACUAUGGGCUAAAAAUGAAAACAGAAUCAGGGAACUAGAAAAGGUUCAGGCAGAGUUGCGGGAGAUUAGUAAAAAACAACUUGAAGAAAUUCAGAAACUGACACAAGAGGCUGCCAAUAGAGAGGAGUAUGAAAUGGAGUUAGCUAAUAUGGACCUUGAAGAUUAUGAGAAAGAGACUCAACAGAAAAAGGAAGAUACUGAGUCUGGGAAAUAUAAUGAGCCCACUGAUUAUAAUGCUAGCCAAGAAUCUAUUGGGACUCUGGGGGAGAAAAUGGCUAAAAUACAUGGAAGUGAGAUCCUGGAUAAAGAAGGGGAGGAGAAAGAUGUUGAAAUCAAGAGAAGCCUGAGAAACAAAGGAAGAGAAGACAAGAAGAUUGAGGAUAUGGCUAAAAGCAGAGCUGAGGAGAGGGACAAUUAUGGAAACAGCUGGAAUCACAUGGGGGCAACAAUGUAGGAAAGCCAGACAUGAUUGGAUGCACUAGCACCGAGGAGGAAACCCCAGUGAUGAAAUAUAUGGCUACUCGAGUGAUGAAUUCUGUAGAAGAACGCCAUCCAGAGUGAAUUGCACUGAUUUGAUAACAUAACCUCGCGUUGUGUUUGCCCGGAAAGUAAAAAAAAGUCACGAUCAUGCAGGAAGAAUGAAAGGAGAAAAUGCAAACAAAAAAUCAGAAUUCCAAAUGAGAAGAGAUAGAGUUAUCAAAGGGCUGAUCAUACCUCAUGCUCAAGCUCUUCAACAGAAGAGCACAAGCCUGCACUCUCUGCUCACAUAACAUUAUUUUCGGCAUGGAACUCGCCUAAACACUUCCUGGAAGUUUUUAUCUCCUCCAACUUCUCGUUCAAAGCCUAAUUAUAUAGCCUGUUCUCAGCAC